rnacentral:lncRNA from 1 species
GGUUUUAUAAAGAGGAGUUUCCCUGCACAAGUUCUCUCUCUUUGCCUGCUGCCAACCAUGUAAGACAUGACUUGUUCCUCUUUGCUUUCCACCAUGAUUGUGAGGCCUCCUCAGCCACAGAGAACUGACACAAGAGAAUGAGUGGCAGAAGAUUACUAAUUGAAAAAGAAGAAAAAUAAUAAUUAAAAUGCAAGACUGAAGACAUAGUAAUUGACGCAUCAGAAAAUUACCUGCUUUGCAUGCUCUCCAUCGUCAAAGUCUUCUGGAAACUUAGGCGAAGUGGGCUAAAAAAAUAUAUUCAAAUCAGCAAGGUUUUGG